rnacentral:tRNA from 1 species
GCCGGGGUGGGGUAGCUGGGUUAUCCUCAGGGACUGUGGAUCCCUUGACCCGAGUUCAAAAUCGUCCUGGGCA